rnacentral:rRNA from 1 species
CAGUCGCCGCGGGAAUACGGAGGGUGCAAGCGUUAUCCGGAUUUAUUGGGUUUAAAGGGUCCGUAGGCGGACUUAUAAGUCAGUGGUGAAAGCCUGUCGCUUAACGAUAGAACUGCCAUUGAUACUGUAAGUCUUGAGUAUAUUUGAGGUAGCUGGAAUAAGUAGUGUAGCGGUGAAAUGCAUAGAUAUUACUUAGAACACCAAUUGCGAAGGCAGGUUACCAAGAUAUAACUGACGCUGAGGGACGAAAGCGUGGGUAGCGAACAGGAUUAGAUACCCCCGUAGUCCCUGUCUCUUAUCC